rnacentral:siRNA from 1 species
GCUGUCAGCCUUUCUUAUGGGC